AAGCUAUAGUGAGAGAGAAAUGUGCCCAGGAAUCCCUUUUGAGUAAAGUGGCAAGACUCAGAGCAAGAGAGACACUCAAGACAGGAUAUAUUCGAAAGUGAUGAGAAAGGAAUGAGAAAAGCAUGAGAAGUGAUGAGUCCCUAAGGAGAUUUGUUCAAAGGUCAAGAGUGAAAGAAAGUCAAAGCUCUGCAGUUAAGAAGAAAAAUACACCACUGAAACUUUCAGAUGCCUUGAGACAAGAUUCUUCUUCCAGAAUUCUAGUAUCAUUCCAAGGCUGGACUCUUCAGAAGUGAUUGCCUGCAAAUUUAGGAUGAGAACAAAAUCACAGUUCAAG
rnacentral:lncRNA from 1 species